GGCGGGCCUCCCCGCAUGGCGUAGCGGCCAACCUGGUCAGGUCCGGAAGGAAGCAGCCACAACCGUGAAGUCAGUGCCGGGGUUCUGGCUCGCCUCUU
rnacentral:SRP_RNA from 1 species